UACAGAGGUCUCAAGCGUUGUUCGGAUUCAUUGGGCGUAAAGGGUGCGUAGGCGGCGCGGUAAGUCGGGUGUGAAAUCUCGGAGCUUAACUCCGAAACUGCAUUCGAUACUGGAUGGCUUGAAUCCGGGAGAGGGAUGCAGAAUUCCAGGUGUAGCGGUGAAAUGCGUAGAUAUCUGGAGGAAUACCGGUGGCGAAGGCGGCAUCCUGGACCGGCAUUGACGCUGAGGAGCGAAAGCCAGGGGAGCAAACGGG
rnacentral:rRNA from 1 species